UCUUAUCAAGAGAGGCGGAGGGACCGGCCCGUUGAAACCUCAGCAGCAGACCAUUUAUGGAACUGUGCUAAUUCCUGGAGCGAAAGCUCCCAGAU
rnacentral:ncRNA from 1 species